rnacentral:lncRNA from 1 species
GCGAAGUUGAAAAAAAAGAAAGUGAUAUGUUUAUGAAUGGAUUGGGAAUGGCACACACUUUUACAUAAUAGAAGCAAAGCAAGGAACUAGAGGUGAUCAUGGGCAUCUGAAGAACAAAGUCGGUUUUCUUGAAUAUAAUACUUGAAGUUCAAAGGAUCGAAAGUUCUUCAGAAACAGAGUUUAACUGGAAUUGGAUGAGAUUGACCGGCAUCACAGCGGGACGGAGACGGCUGAAGGCUGGAGCGGAGAAGGCGAUGGCAGCGGUGAUCGCCGACGACAGAGGAAGCGGGAGACUGAGAGGCCGCCGGAGUGGAAACGGCUGUGGACGGGCAGCGGCGCUGGACAGGUCUAUAACCAACUAAAUGUAUAAUAUAUCUCUAAUAGGAAAAAUUCUUAAAUUAGUCCCUAUAAGU